UACGUAGGGGCAAGCGUUGUCCGGAUUUAUUGGGCGUAAAGAGCUCGUAGGUGGUUCGGUAAGUCGGAUGUGAAAUCUCCAGGCUCAACCUGGAGGGGUCAUUCGAUACUGCCUGACUAGAGGUCGGUAGGGGAGUGUGGAAUUCCUGGUGGAGCGGUGAAAUGCGCAGAUAUCAGGAGGAACACCCGUAGCGAAGGCGGCACCUCUG
rnacentral:rRNA from 1 species